GUUGUAAGGUUAAGAAAUUAAGCGUACACGGUGGAUGCCUAGGCAAUCAGAGGCGAUGAAGGACGUGUUAAUCUGCGAAAAGCGACGGUAAGCCGAUAAAAGGCGCUAUAGCCGUUGAUGUCCGAAUGGGGAAACCCAGUGUAGGUGACUACACUAUCAUCUGAUGAAUACAUAGUCAGAUGAGGCGAACCGGGAGAACUGAAACAUCUAAGUACCCCGAGGAAAAGAAAUCAACCGAGAUUCCCUAAGUAGCGGCGAGCGAAAGGGGAGUAGCCCAAGCGGGUAGCAUAAUGUAUUAGUGGAAGCGUCUGGAAAGUCGCACGAUAGAGGGUGAAAGUCCCGUACACGAAGAUGCAUUAUGUGGAAGCUUAUAGAGUAGGGCGGGACACGUGAUAUC
rnacentral:rRNA from 1 species